rnacentral:lncRNA from 1 species
UAUCUACCUAGAGGGCACAUUCCAAAUGACCUAACUUCCUCUCACUAGGCUCCUUCUUCUCCAAAGGUUCUGACACCUUCUGAUAGUACCAUGACCCAGUGACAAAGCCUUUAAUAUGUGGGCCUCUGGGGACAUUUCAGACCCAUACUAGAAGGUUCUCAUUUCCCUGAUGCUAACACCCAUAGGCAGAGACUCAGGACAACAACACCAGGGGCCGUUUACAGUAGGAGUGACUAGCAUAGACUGUUACAUUUUUAGAAGUACUUUUAAAUUGUGGUAGCAUUUAUGUAGUUCAACUUACCAUCCCAGCCAUCUUUAAUCUCAUAGUCCAAUGGCAUCAAAUAACCCCACCACCAUCCAUCUUCAGCCCCCUCCUUCAUCUUACAGAAUCAAACCCACCACAUUAAGCUCGAACUCCCCAGUUCCCUCAUCCCCAUCCCAGGAAGACUGUCUCUGUGUAGUGAUUACUCCAGGUAUUCAGGUACCUGCUGGCUUCAUUUUGGAGCUGUCGUGCGUUGUGCUGCUGUGAAUAUAGUUGUGCAAACGUCUCUUCAAGGUCCAGUUCCUCUGGGCUUGUGCCUGGUAGCCAGAUUGCAGAUCCUGUGCUGUUUGUUUUUGAGGAACCACAGCCCUGGUUUCCCUAGUGACUGCAUCAUCUUAAGCAGAUACAAGAAGGCGACCUGUGAUGCCUGAACGAAAAACUGAAGACUGAACAGACAUAUCCUAGCAAAAGAAAAAAAGAGGCCAGAGGGUCCCAGGCUGAAGAAACACAUGUGUAAUGUCCAGGGAGUCCCAGGGGCAGGGACAUUUGAAGACCCCAGAGCUUGGGUAAGGUAUGGAAUAUGGAGAAGAGGGGGAGAAUGUCCCUGCUGUGUGAAGGAGAUGGGCCACAUCCCUUUAAUGGUGAAGGUGAGAGACUCUGAGGAGAGAGGCCAUCUGAGGGAGUUUGUAAGGCUAUUUCUAUAGGGCAGCCUGCUAGGAGGUUUUACUCUUAAAGGGAAGCAGCCAGAGCAGGCUAGCAUGGCCUGGCCAAGCAGCCUGAGCACUCAGUGUGAGCUAGUGGAAGCUCAUCCAGUCUUACCAGUUGUUAGUCUGGCCCCUCUCCUGUCCAGUCAGCCUGAUUCUAUUAAUUCUUCAACCAGAGGCCUCUGAGGCCAGUUAGAUCUUGAUGUCAGCCUGCAAUGCUGUGGCCUCAGGGCACAGAAAGGACCCAGCAUGGCUACUCUACUGUCUUCACCUCAUGCCUGACUUCCUGGUUAAGCCAGGACGGGGUGUGGGCUUGCUGUGCCCACGUGUGAGAGUUUCUGUAAGUUUGCCUCUCUUGUUUCCGCAUGGUCUCCCUCAGCUUUCAGAUCUCAUUGAUCCAGCAACAUGGAGACCCCCAGAGGCUCAGAAACCGUCUUUAGUUCCCUGGGUGGUGUCAUUCCCUGGUGGUUAGACUGGGUCUUCUGUAGAUAUUGAAUGAAUGGAGAGUGAAGAAGGUCAGAGCCAGAAAGGACUUUGGGAGCCUUCUUCUGUUCAUGCCUUAACAUACAGAUGGGGAAACCUAGGCUCAGGGAGCCGAGCCUGCGUGAGAGCCAUCCAUCUUCAAGACUUUCUGGGCCAUUCUUAUCCCUAACUCCUUCAGAAGCAGCUGAUCUCACUGGCCUGCGACAUCAGGGAGAAGGGAAAUCAGUAGAGCCAGGCAGGCUGGACUCUGCGACCUUCUGACCUUCUCACAGAAGCCCCUGGAAAGGUCAGCUGCUCUUUCCAGCAGCUGUCAGCAUUCAGAGAAGCAGCUCUGACGCGUGGCUGAGGCAAGGAGCGAGGGAGGGAGGGACCUGGCAGAGAACCAAACUCCUCAGCAUGAGUCAUACAGACCAGAGCUUCUCGGGAGAUCAGAUGGGAACUGGGGAGGGGAAGGGUGACCAGAAGGAUAGCACGUGCGCAGGGGGAGGACGAGCUGGGUGUGUGCGUCUGUCCACUGUGCAGUCACCAAUCUGCUGGUGAGCCUGGAGGUAGGAGGGGGAGGGCUCCCUUCUGACAGCACCCUCUCUAUCUCACAAGGCCACCUCCUUCAGUUUUUCUUUCUCCCCCCUCUUCCCCCCCCCCCCACCCCCACACCCUUAUCCUCCUCCCAGCAUAACUUCCAGGGCACAUUGAAUUGGCUCUAUUUCCAGUGGCUUUUCUGAUGGGCAGCCCUGCAGGCAGGAGUAGCUUGCUCCCUUUUCUUGGGUGCAGGCUGCCUACAGAGCCUCUGCAUCCCUCUUUGCCUAUAGGAGAUGCUUCAGGUUUUCUGUGGAGACCUAGAAAGAAACAGAACCGGAAGGCAUCUGUCUUUCCACCAUCCUCUCCAUGAGGCUUGGGCAGGGUGAUCUCAGAGCCUUGUGAGCGGGCAAGGAGAGGGGGUGGGGCAAGGAGGUGGGGGUGGGUGGGUUGAGGAAUUUGUUUUAAGGAAAAGCAUGCAAAAUAAGUACAAAGUUAAUAUUUAUUCAGCAUGUGGAAUCAUAACCAAUUACACAUUUCGGAAAGCGAACUACACAGUCGUAAGACCCCAGCAAAACCAACAACACAGUUUAUAAAUUAUUAUGGAUCGUUGGUUGCCACUCAUCUGUAAUACUUUCAUCCUACAAGCAUUGGCUGCACGCUUUUUGAUGUCUUCAUAGGAUGGUAAUUUCUCAUCAUCAUUUACUACAGAGAGGAUUAAAAGAUAACUCCAUCUUUCUGGUGUGCACAGUGAGCUUAUUAGUAACUUGAAAAUGUGCCUCUUCCAGCUUUCCCACUUGGUGUUGGUAAUGCUGUGUCUGCACCAUCUUGUAUUUUGGUGCUCAGUCUCCUGGGCAGACACGGUGUCCCUUGGAGUGGCUCAUAGCCCAGACCCAAGCAGCUACUUCAGCUCAGGCAUAUGUGUAAAUCAGCUGGUGCUCGCCUCUGCCUACCUCUCAUUCUAGGAUAAAGGAAGUGCAGCCAUGAGACCUGAGGUCAUGGUAGCCUCAGACUGGGCUGGGCAAGCUCCUGUAUUUAGAGGUUUGGUGGGUGUGCUCAACCCCAGGAAAGGGACACAACCUCAGUCUUGGGGUCCUGCAGGGCAGUGACAGGUAACUUCAGCUGUGACAGUGCACUGUGAUCCAACAGGGAUUGCUGUGGCCUUCUGCCCGUGCACCAAACAACGCACAGGGACAGAGAGGGUCCUCUGCUGAGUGUGAGGCCGUGAGCUGUGAGCUGGGAGGUCUCAGAGGCCUCUCUCCUCACUAUUUCUUAGAGUAUCCAUGGGGUGUUUGCAACAGAGGGGAGUCUUGCGCUAUCUCUUUCAGUUCAGUGGCUGCUCAGUGGCCAUUUCCCAGGCUCCUUACAGGCAAUAAGCAUUUAUUUUACCUGGAACCCUCAAGUCAGGUCACCAACACCACAGCUUCUGAUGACGGUUCUUGUCUAGGUUACAAACAUGCAACUUCCUGUUUG